rnacentral:lncRNA from 1 species
CAUUAAUCUUCACAUAGAACAAAAGUCCAAAUUGAAAAAAAUGAUAAAUGCCAUAUCAUGUAACAAUUUUAUCUUUUUUAUUGGGUAUUUCUGUAUUUACUGAUUGCAUUGGACUGUCAACAAGCAUAUUAGCUUCUCUAGAACCAUGAUACUGAAUAGCUAAUUUUUUUUUUUGCUCUCUAAUUUACAAAGUAAAAUUAAAAGUACAUGACAUUGCUUUUACUCAAGAAAACUUCACUCAUUCUGAAUCUAUUAGAACAUUGUUGCNUCUUUUGUCUUCUAUUUUCUGUUCUCACUGGUUCAACAUGUAAAAUUACUUAUGCUUCAAAACUGAAGUUUGAGGUAAAAAUAUUUUGCAUCAAUAACUUCUCUAAUUUCCAAAGUACUUUCAUUACCUCAUUUCCCCUCCAUAUAUGUGUGAAGUGGUUUUAUUCUCUAUUCUGUCAGUAUUCAGUUUAAAGGAGAGAGUUUAUUCUUACUAACAGGAGGAAACAGAGCUAUAUAAUUCUGAACGGUGAAAAAAAUUUUUUAAGUAUUUAGCUUUGAAAGAUGGUUUUGUGAUUUUACUUGAAUAGGGGUGUGUCUGAUAUUCAGGGAAUUUCCUUCAAGCAAAAUCAUGAAGCAAUGAGGCCAUACUAUUAAAAUCUAAUUUAAGAUGAGCUGGGAAUAUAUCCUGUUUCCACAUCUGGAAACCUGUUGAGCUCUUCCCUAAAAUUCAGUCCAUUCUGCAGACUGAGGCAAGGUCCAUUCUGGAACAGGGAGAUGGCUAAAUGUUGUGGUUUCAAAGGUAGUCUUUACCUAAAAUUAGAGGGACCUGAGAUACAACAAAGUGGGAUAGGUUGAACCCAUGCUCACUAUAGUUGAUUGAUUAUAUCUGAAAACAAGAUUAGCCACAAAUAACCAAAUUUAAAUAGUCUAGAGUUGACUCUACACUUAUUAAUAGUUACUUAUGUAUUUAUUGUUUUAUGUCAGCAUAUGUGUCUCUCCAAUUAAACUAUAAACAUAUUAAAGGCUUGAUUCAUUUCUGAUCUUUAAAAGUCAAUUAGGGUACACUACAUUUGUUAUACUCAUAAAUGUCUUAGAUCACAAAGAAGUCUUAAAAAAAUAAAAUCUUUCUCAAUUUAAGACUGUUAGAAAUU